UUGAACGCUGGCGGCAUGCCUUACACAUGCAAGUCGAACGGUAGAGGGGCAACCCUUGAGAGUGGCGAACGGGUGAGUAAUGCAUCGGAACGUGCCCAGUCGUGGGGGAUAACGCAGCGAAAGCUGUGCUAAUACCGCAUGUGAUCUGUGGAUGAAAGCAGGGGACCGCAAGGCCUUGUGCGAUUGGAGCGGCCGAUGUCAGAUUAGCUAGUUGGUAGGAUAAAAGCCUACCAAGGCGACGAUCUGUAGCUG
rnacentral:rRNA from 1 species